CACACGAACACCGUGCCGUUCGAGUCUCCUGAAGCAAAAUACAAGCGCGGUAUAAACACAACCAGCCGUGACGAGGUGCUGCUACAAGCGCUCCGGACUGUCCUCAGCAGCGUCGAGUGAAAACAAUGGGAUCAUUCCAAGGUGCGACCGUGCUCACCCAUCUGAAACUAAACACCACCGGACGCUUCGGCCGUUCGCCGGGCAGCGUUUUUGCGGCAUUCGCCACGACGCUGCUCCACGCACCGGCUCACCGGCCACCUCGGCACGAACACGCUCGCCACGCGCUCCCAGUCAACUCCCCAUCAUCGUACGGUGCAGCAAGAACAUCGAGACUCAACGUCCAUGGAGCUCACUGACGACAAUAAACGCUGUGUGGACCGCACGCAGGAGGCCGCGUGCCGGGGUGAAGGUGACCAGGGUGUGAAGGUGUAUAGGUGUGCAGGGCGUGGUGAUGGUGUGUAGCUGUGCAGGGCAUGGGUGUGAAUAUCUGUGGUUGUGAAUAUCUGUGGUUGUGUAUAGCCGUGGUUGUGUAUAGUUGUGUAUAGCUGUGGCUGUGUAUAGUUGUGUAUAUCUGUGGUUGUGUAUAGUUGUGUAUAGUUGUGUGUAGCUGUGGUUGUGUAUAGUUGUGUGUAGCUGUGGUUGUGUAUAGUUGUGUAUAGCUGUGGUUGUGUAUAGUUGUGUAUAGUUGUGGUUGUGUAUAGUUGUGUAUAGUUGUGGUUGUGUAUAGUUGUGUAUAGCUGUGGUUGUGUAUAGUUGUGUGUAGCUGUGGUUGUGUAUAGUUGUGUGUAGCUGUGGUUGUGUAUAGUUGUGUAUAGUUGUGGUUGUGUAUAGUUGUGUAUAGUUGUGUAUAGUUGUGGUUGUGUAUAGUUGUGUAUAUCUGUGGUUGUGUAUAGUUGUGUAUAGCCGUGGUUGUGUAUAGUUGUGUAUAGCUGUGGUUGUGUAUAGUUGUGUAUAGCCGUGGUUGUGUAUAGUUGUGUAUAUCUGUGGUUGUGUAUAGUUGUGUAUAUCUGUGGUUGUGUAUAGUUGUGUAUAACUGUGGUUGUGUAUAGUUGUGUAUAUCUGUGGUUGUGUAUAGUUGUGUAUAGCUGUGGUUGUGUAUAGUUGUGCAUAACUGUGGUAGUGUAUAGUUGUGUAUAGCUGUGGUUGUGUAUAGUUGUGUAUAACUGUGGUUGUGUAUAGUUGUGUAUAUCUGUGGUUGUGUAUAGUUGUGUAUAUCUGUGGUUGUGUAUAGUUGUGUAUAACUGUGGUUGUGUAUAGUUGUGUAUAUCUGUGGUUGUGUAUAGUUGUGUAUAGCUGUGGUUGUGUAUAGUUGUGCAUAACUGUGGUAGUGUAUAGUUGUGUAUAGCUGUGGUUGUGUAUAGUUGUGUAUAGCUGUAGUUGUGUAUAGCAGUGUUUGUGUAUAGUUGUGUAUAGCAGUGUUUGUGUAUAGUUGUGUAUAGUUGUGUAUAUCUGUGCAGGGUGUGUGUAGUUGUGUAUAGUUGUGUAUAGUUGUGUAUAUCUGUGCAGGGUGUGUGUAGUUGUGUAUAGUUGUGUAUAGCUGUGUAUAGUUGUGUAUAUCUGUGCGGGGGUGUAUAGUUGUGUAUAGUUGUGUAUAGUUGUUGUGUAUAUCUGUGUUUGUGUAUAGUUGUGUAUAGUUGUGUGUAGUUGUGUGCAGUUGUGUAUAGUAGUUGUGUAUAUCUGUGCAGGGUGUGUGUAGUUGUGUAUAGUUGUGUAUAGCGGUGUAUAGUUGUGUAUAUCUGUGCAAGGUGUGUAUAGUUGUGUAUAGUUGUGUAUAGUUGUUGUGUAUAUCUGUGUUUGUGUAUAGUUGUGUAUAGUUGUGUGUAGUUGUGUGCAGUUGUGUAUAGUUGUGUAUAGUUGUUGUGUAUAUCUGUGCAGGGUGUGUGUAGUUGUGUAUAGUUGUGUAUAGCUGUGUAUAGUUGUGUAUAUCUGUGCAGGGUGUGUAUAGUUGUGUAUAGUUGUGUAUAGUUGUGUAUAGGUGUUGUGUAUAUCUGUGUUUGUGUAUAGUUGUGUGUAGUUGUGUGCAGUUGUGUAUAGUUGUGUAUAGUUGUUGUGUAUAUCUGUGUUUAUGUAUAGUUGUGUAUAGUUGUGUAUAGUUGUGUAUAGCAGUGUAUAUCUGUGCAGGGUGUGUAUAGUUGUGUAUAGUUGUGUAUAGUAGUUGUGUAUAGUUGUUGUGUGUAGCCGUGCAGGGUGUGUAUAGUUGUGUAUAGUUGUGUAUAGUUGUUGUGUAUAUCAGUGUUUAUGUAUAGUUGUGUAUAGUUGUGUAUAGUUGUGUAUAUCUGUGUUUAUGUAUAGUUGUGUAUAGUUGUGUAUAGUUGUUGUGUAUAGUUGUUGUGUGUAGCCGUGCAGGUCUCCGCUUGCCGGUGAGCAGCUCGCCCCGGCUGGAGAAGGCCAUGCAGGUGACGGCGCGCGGCAGGAAGUGGGCGCCGUAGUUUGCGCGUGUCUCCAGGCGGACGGUGCCCUCCUCCGGCUGGAGGCGCCACCACGCCAGGUGCUGCCGGCCUCCCGACACCACGGAGUUCGGGUCGCGGCGUGAGAACCUGGCGGUGUCGAUGGCGGCGGCGGCGGCGGCCGGGACGGGCGGACGAGAGGGUGUCAGAGAUACUCCGGUCUCUUCCCACAAGCAAAAAAACUCAAAAAAGUAAAUUUCCCAACAUCCCAACACAGAACCUUGUUGAGAGAGCUCAGCCUUGAGCCUGUUCGGAGCCACCGGGGGGUACGAAUCCAUCUGUGGGCUCACCUGACGCAGGUGAGGCGGAGCUGACUCUCGUGCUGCGCGAGCGUGGCGCUCAGCAGGCGCCGAUGCUCCACCCCGAGCUCCCACACGAGCAGCACGUGCGCCGGGCCGCCCCCCGCCGCCAGCAGCAGCGGCGCCGCCGUCGCCGCCGCGCCGCUGAAGUCCAGGCUGAUGACGGGCCCGGGCCCAAGCAGGCCGGCGCCCAGAACCAGCAGCGUCUGCAGCGAGUCGCUCCGCCACAGGCGCACGUGCGCGCUCCGCGGGCGUCCCGCUCCGCCUCCAGCCCGGCCACGCCCCGCAUCCGGCUCGUCUUCACGCUCCUCGUCGUCGACGGCGCCGGCCUUGUCUCCCUGCGCCGUCGCCAUCGUGCGCUGGUCUGGGUGGAGCGCCAUGCUGGGACGGGAAGACGUUGGCAUUCUAUUCGUUUAAGGCCCACGGAGCUAUAUCGCUCUUUUUCAGAAAUGAUGGCCCAACUAGGCGGCUUAUCACGUGGAAAUGUACGGCAGCCAAAUACUCUAAACGCCGUGAUGAUGAUUCAGGCGACCACGGGGAGAACAUGCAAUCUACUAAUAUACAACAGGCGUCAGGGUCGGGAUCAAACCCACGACCUGCUGAAUACCACGUUAAAGGUUACUCAGUCAUCAUCAUCAUCAUCAGCCAUAUUCUAUCCACUACCGAGUGAAGACUUCCCCAAGCCGUGAGGUGACGUCAUAACAGUGAUAGACUCGGACAUCACUGGCGGAUUCCAGGCAGCUGUGAUUCAACCGGGCUCCCAGGUGUCGUGGGUUCAGGGCCUUAGCGUAGUAAUCAAUGACCGCACAAAAACAGCCCCGAUCAUAUUAGGCUGAUUGUCGUGUAGCGAACAUCUCUGUCGCAGGGCAUGUGAGAAGCUCUGCGACUUUGUGAAUGCGAUGCAAUGGAAGGGAUCUCAGAUGUAGUUCUCUUAUAAAACCACAUUUCAGAAAGUGUUCUGUACCAUGGGAUGAUGCAUUGCCCCUGUUUGAGAGUUGUGGUGAUGUGCUUAUUGUACGGGGCAGCUGCUGCCACCACCCCCACCCUGACCCCUCCUCUAGACUGGAGCCACCCUCACCUUGACCCCUCCUCUAGACUGGAGCCACCCUCACCUUGACCCCUCCUCUAGACUGGAGCCACCCCCACGUUGACCCCUCCUCCAGACUGGAGCCACCCCCACCUUGACCCCUCCUCUAGACUGAAGCCACCCCCACCUUGACCCCUCCUCUAGACUGGAGCCACCCCCACCUUGACCCCUCCUCUAGACUGGAGCCACCCCCACCUUGACCUCUCCUCUAGACUGGAGCUACCCCCACCUUGACCCCUCCUCUAGACUGGAGCCACCCCCACCUUGACCCCUCCUCUAGACUGGAGCAACCCCCACCUUGACCCCUCCUCUAGACUGGAGCUACCCCCACCUUGACCCCUCCUCUAGACUGGAGCCACUCCCACCUUGACCCCUCCUCUAGACUGGAGCCACCCCCACCUUGACCCCUCCUCCAGACUGGAGCCAC